rnacentral:rRNA from 1 species
AGUGAACGCUGGCGGUAGGCCUAACACAUGCAAGUCGAACGGCAGCACAGUAAGAGCUUGCUCUUACGGGUGGCGAGUGGCGGACGGGUGCUGAAUACAUCGGAAUCUACUUUUUCGUGGGGGAUAACGUAGGGAAACUUACGCUAAUACCGCAUACGACCUACGGGUGAAAGCAGGGGAUCUUCGGACCUUGCGCGAUUGAAUGAGCCGAUGUCGGAUUAGCUAGUUGGCGGGGUAAAGGCCCACCAAGGCGACGAUCCGUAGCUGGUCUGAGAGGAUGAUCAGCCACACUGGAACUGAGACACGGUCCAGACUCCUACGGGAGGCAGCAGUGGGGAAUAUUGGACAAUGGGCGAAAGCCUGAUCCAGCCAUACCGCGUGUGUGAAGAAGGCCUUCGGGUUGUAAAGCCCUUUUGUUGGGAAAGAAAAGCAGCAGGUUAAUACCCCGCUGUUCUGACGGUACCAAAAGAAUAAGCACCGGCUAACUUCGUG